UGAAAUCGCGAUUCCCCUUUGUGUCGUCUUCUCCUUGUCAGUUGUCACGCUCGCGCCGCAUCCGCUCCCGAAGCCGAAUCGCCCUCGCGCCUCAUCUCCUCGUCGUCACCGCCGCCGCCGCCUGCCCACUGCCACCUCUUCCCCGCCGUGCCGUCGCCUGCUCUCCACUAUCACCUCUUCCUAGACCCCGCCACUGGCGCCGCUUCCUCCUCCUCGUCCCUGCCCUCCACCUCCAGCCCCCCGCCACCGCCUCUUCCUCCUAGUCCCCACCGGUACCGUCGCGCCGCCUGCACCUCCUCGUCCCUUUCCUCCACCCCUAGCCCCACGUUGCCGCCGCUUCCUCCUCCUACUCCUCUCCUCGUCUCCCUUCAGAAAGCCAGCUUCAAAGCUCCAAGAAAGCCAGCUUCAAAGCUCUAUGGCACAUCCCAGAGCAAUGGCAGCAUGGAUGCAGGUGAGGACACCCAGCCGUCCGAGCCGACCGUGGUAAAGCUUUCAUCAAGGUGCUCGAGGCCGACUCCAUUGUUGAUUUGAAUUAUGGAACCAUAAUGGUCAGUUACUUAGUUGUUUGAAUUUAAUAUCCAGAAACAUCCACUGUUAUGUUGUAAAACCUCCUGGCUUUCAAUGGGCAAAACCUAAUAGAAGACUUAUUCAGUUUGGCCUUGGUGAAAUCUGUAACCUGGAAACAUAUUGUUUUGUUUUCAUAUAUGCAGAUCCAACAAAUGCUUUGGUUAUUA